AUUGAACGCUGGCGGCAGGCCUAACACAUGCAAGUCGAGCGGGGUUUUCGGACCUAGCGGCGGACGGGUGAGUAAUGCGUAGGAAGCUACCCGAUAGAGGGGGAUACCAGUUGGAAACGACUGUUAAUACCGCAUAAUGUCUACGGACCAAAGUGUGGGACCUUCGGGCCACAUGCUAUCGGAUGCGCCUACGUGGGAUUAGCUAGUUGGUGAGGUAAUGGCUCACCAAGGCGACGAUCCCUAGCUGGUUUGAGAGGAGGAUCAGCCACACUGGAACUGAGACACGGUCCAGACUCCUACGGGAGGCAGCAGUGGGGAAUAUUGGACAAUGGGCGCAAGCCUGAUCCAGCCAUGCCGCGUGUGUGAAGAAGGCCUUCGGGUUGUAAAGCACUUUCAGUAGGGAGGAAGCGUUGUGUGUUAAUAGUACACAGCGUUGACGUUACCUACAGAAGAAGCACCGGCUAACUCUGUGCUAGCAGCAGCCGCCGUAA
rnacentral:rRNA from 1 species